rnacentral:rRNA from 1 species
UAGGGAAUCUUCGGCAAUGGGGGGAACCCUGACCGAGCAACGCCGCGUGAGUGAAGAAGGUUUUCGGAUCGUAAAGCUCUGUUGUUAAGGAAGAACGAGUGUGAGAAUGGAAAGUUCAUGCUGUGACGGUACUUAACCAGAAAGGGACGGCUAACUACGUGCCAGCAGCCGCGGUAAUACGUAGGUCCCGAGCGUUGUCCGGAUUUAUUGGGCGUAAAGCGAGCGCAGGCGGUUAGAAAAGUCUGAAGUGAAAGGCAGUGGCUCAACCAUUGUAGGCUUUGGAAACUGUUUAACUUGAGUGCAGAAGGGGAGAGUGGAAUUCCAUGUGUAGCGGUGAAAUGCGUAGAUAUAUGGAGGAACACCGGUUGCGAAAGCGGCUCUCUGGUCUGUAACUGACGCUGAGGCUCGAAAGCGUGGGGAGCGAACAGG